rnacentral:misc_RNA from 1 species
GAAAUGAGUAAAAUAAAUAACAGGCAGUGCACAGGAAAAAAUUUGACUCUUGCAAUAUUGGAGAAUUUCCAAGAUUGUAGGGUUCUUAAUAGCAAGAACCUCAACAGUUCUCUUUUACAAUAAUAAAUGAAAAAAACUCACAGUUCUUCUCUUUCACACAGACUAGCUUACUUCCUGUCAAAGUAGUAAAUUCUGUGAACACACAUUGCUUAGGCAGGAAAUUAUUGAAAUAUUUUCCUAGUCAUACUUUUCCAUCUACCUAACCUAACCAGAGGUCCAAAAUUCAAGAUUUCAGCUAUACCUUUUACAUUUUUUUACAUUUUACCCUUUUCAUAUUCCUACCGGAACAUUAAUGGCUGCCAGAUAGUUGCCUCUAUUAGUAUUUCUAUUAUG